GCAGCCUGCAACUCGGCUGCAUGAAGCUGGAAUCGCUAGUAAUCGCGGAUCAGAAUGCCGCGGUGAAUACGUUCCCGGGUCUUGUACACACCGCCCGUCACACCAUGGGAGUUGGAAAUGCCCGAAGUCAGUGGCCCAACCUACGGGAGGGAGCUGCCGAAGGCAGGUUCGAUGACUGGGGUGAAGUCGUAACAAGGUAUC
rnacentral:rRNA from 1 species